GCGGGUGUAGUUCAGUGGUAGAACGCUACCUUCCCAAGGUCGAUGUCGUGGGUUCGAAUCCCAUCACCCGCU
rnacentral:tRNA from 1 species